UACGGGGGGGGCAAGCGUUGUUCGGAAUUACUGGGCGUAAAGGGCUCGUAGGUGGCCAACUAAGUCAGACGUGAAAUCCCCAGGCUUAACCUGGGAACUGCGUCUGAUACUGGAUGGCUUGAAUUCGGGAGAGGGAUGCAGAAUUCCAGGUGUAGCGGUGAAAUGCGUAGAUAUCUGGAGGAACACCGGUGGCGAAGGCGGCAUCCUGGACCAAUACUGACGCUGAGGCGCGAAAGCUAGGGGAGCAAACGGG
rnacentral:rRNA from 1 species